rnacentral:rRNA from 1 species
UACGAAGGGGGCUAGCGUUGCCCGGAUUUACUGGGCGUAAAGGGCGCGUAGGCGGUUCGUACAGUCAGACGUGAAAUUCCUGGGCUCAACCUGGGGGCUGCGUUUGAUACGUGCGGACUUGAGUGCGGAAGAGGGUCGUGGAAUUCCCAGUGUAGAGGUGAAAUUCGUAGAUAUUCGGAAGAACACCAGUGGCGAAGGCGGCUCACUGGCCCGGUACUGACGCUGAGGUGCGAAAGCGUGGGGAGCAAACAGG